GACUACCAGGGUAUCUAAUCCUGUUUGCUCCCCACGCUUUCGCACCUGAGCGUCAGUUAUAGUCUAGAGAACCGCCUUCGCUUCCGUUGUUCCUCCUGAUAUCUACGAAUUUCACCUCUACACCAGGAAUUCCGUUCUCCUCUCCUACACUCUAGCCUUACAGUAUCCAAUGCACUUCCUGGAUUGAGUCCAGGGAUUUCACAUCAGACUUAUAAAGCCGCCUACGUGCGCUUUACGCCCAGUAACUCCGAAUAACGCUUGCACCCUCUGUAUUACCGCGGCUGCUGGCACAGAGUUAGCCGGUGCUUUUUCUGUUGGUACCGUCGUUUUUUUCUUCCCAACUAAAAGAGCUUUACAACCCGAAGGCCUUCGUCACUCACGCGGCAUUGCUGCGUCAGGGUUUCCCCCAUUGCGCAAAAUUCCUCACUGCAGCCACCCGUAGG
rnacentral:rRNA from 1 species